ensembl:misc_RNA 7SK 7SK RNA
GGAUGUGAGUGCGAUCUGGCUGCAGCAUCUGUCACCCCAUUGAUCGCCAGGCUGAUCUGGCUAGCUAGGCAGGUGGGCCCUUCCUCCCUCACCACUCCAUGUGUGUCCCUCCCAAAGCUGUGAACUGGGUCGAAGAGGACAGCCUUCCCCGAACAGAGACAGACAGGUCUCCCAUCGGUCAAGGGUAUACAAGUAGUUGCACUCCCCUGCUAGAACCUCCAAACAAGCUCUCAAGGUCCAUGGAGUUGGGUUGAGGAGGUUUAUGGUUGUUCAUUUGGUCUUUGCCAAGACAUAUUACUAUUGCUAAUGGUGAGAAAUAUUCU